rnacentral:misc_RNA from 1 species
GGAAGGAUCAUUGAUUAGUUGUUUAUCAAUCAAACUAAAUUCGAGGAGCCAGUAACCUCGUUAAAUAAUAUCGGGGUAAUAUCGAGGAGUCGGAUGGUAACCUCGUUAAACACUUAUUCGAAUUGAUCGAGGAUGGACCUUAGGAAACCUCGUUAAAAACUCACUUAGGAAGGAUCUAUCGGUUGCCACCCCUGGCCGGGGAGGUUGACCGGUGGGCAUAUCCUUUCUCCCUCUCGCCAAGGGAGUCCAAUCAGUUAGGUUGUGCCUUGCUGGCCCAUUUGAUUGAUCAAACCUUAAUGAAUUACUAUACUAAUAAAACCAAAACAUCAACCUUUAAGCGGUGGAUACCUUGGCUACCAUAACGAUGAAGAACGCAGCGAAACGCGAUAUUUAUUGCGAAUUGCAGAAUUCAGUGAAUCAUCAAAACUUUGAACGCAUUGCAGCCCUGGGUUCACGUCCUUGGCUAUGCCUCAGCGACUAUCAAAAGGUAAAAAACUCCUGCCCUGGUGUGUAUUGGAUAUGGAAGGUGGACUUUCCCGAGUCUUCUGGUACUAAUUCGGUCAAACAAGCACUAUGGCUCUUUGAGAGUUAGAUGCGAAUCUAUCUCUUUAAAUAUCAGUGGCAAUCGUCGCAUCGUGCCAGUCUUUAGGGGUCUUCACGGACCCUGCUGUUUGGGUGAGAGUUGAUGGCUUGAUAGAGUUCCUUGUAGACACACUCGUGUGUCUGCGGGAGAUUCUUGAAGGUAGGAAAACAAUCGCAUAUUCAGGCAGUGACUGAUAUAUCGUGGCGAGCUUUGGCUACUCUAACCGUCGUAAUAUGUACGUACACGCCAGUGUAUGUAGAUAAAGCAACAAUUUCUCUACCUGAUGUCGUUGAGGUAAGAUUACCCCCUGAGUUUAAGCAUAUUCGUAAGGGGAGGAAAAGAAACUAAAAAGGAUUCCCUCAGUAACGGCGAGUGAACCGGGAAGAGCUCAACCCGAGAAUCUUAGUUGGUCUCCUUCUAAGAAUUGUGGGCAACGGAGACAUGCUCAGCGUGUGGCCCUGGUCUAAGUAUGCCUGGGAUGCAUCGUCAGAGAGGGUGAGAACCCCGUCUGGGACCAGAAGUCCGCCGCGUACGAGCUGUCAUCCUAGAGUCGGAUUGCUUGGGAAUGCAGUCUUAAAUGGGUGGUAAAUUCCAUCCAAAGCUAAAUAUAUAUGGUAGACCGAUAGCACACAAGUACCGUAAGGGAAAGGUGAAAAGAACUUUGAAAAGAGAGUCAAAAGUACUUGAAACCGUUUAAAGUCACGGGAUAAGAACUGUUGGAUCGGGUUGCCACUAUUACUACUGUCCCGACACUUGACUACAUUUAGGGGUAUCGAGGAGCCUUGCUUGCUUGGUUCUUGCCCCAAUUUGUUCCGAGAGUGUUGACAGUUGGGAACGUGAGCGCGAGUAGUGUCAGAAUGAAUUCACUGCUGGGGAAUGCAUGCUGUUGGGGUGGUAAAGUCGUGAUCGUUUCCGAACGUGAUCCUUGAAUACUCAUCGUGUCAUGUACCUCGGCGUGGAUUGAGGUCUUCCUUGAUUCUGGCCAUAUACGGUUCUUAUCCACCCGUCUUGAAACACGGACCAAGGAGUCCAACAUACACGCGAGUCUUAAGGUGUAAAAACCUGUUGUAGGCGAAAUGAAAGUGAAGGGUUUGCUUCGGCUUUCCCGAGAUGUGAAUCCCUUUUGGGGGGAGGCAACAUCAUCCGGCUGUGCCAUUAGUGUGCGGUUCGAGAUUGAGCGUGUAUGCUGGGACCCGAAAGAUGGUGAACUAUGCCUGGGUAGGGUGAAGCCAGGGGAAACUCUGGUGGAAGCUCGUAGAGAUGCUGACGUGCAAAUCGUUCUUCGAACCUGGGUAUAGGGGCGAAAGACUAAUCGAACCAUCUAGUAGCUGGUUCCCUC